UACGUAGGGCGCAAGCGUUGUCCGGAAUUAUUGGGCGUAAAGAGCUCGUAGGCGGCUUGUCACGUCGGGUGUGAAAGCCCGGGGCUUAACCCCGGGUCUGCAUUCGAUACGGGCUAGCUAGAGUGUGGUAGGGGAGAUCGGAAUUCCUGGUGUAGCGGUGAAAUGCGCAGAUAUCGGGAGGAACACCGGUGGCGAAGGCGGUUCUCUGGGCCUGUUCUGACGCUGAGGAGCGAAAGCGUGGGGAGCGAACAGG
rnacentral:rRNA from 1 species